CGAAUGACAGUAAUGUGAUGCGCGCUCCCUGUAAUCAGGGGGAAAUAACUCGUAUAGCAUUGUGAAAAAUGUAGCUCAUUGAUUAUUCAGAUACGUUUGAAAUAUUUUAUGGUUAUACAAGAUAUUUUACAAUAACUAUUGAAAAAGACUCGAACACAAUUUAUGUUCAUGUUAUGCAUAAAUCUUAUUAAAUCAUUGACUCCGCAAAAUAUUAUGACAUCACAGGAGGGUGGAACUACCUUAAAUAAAGCUGAAUGCUUAUGAAGGAAAAACAGAAAGGGGUACCAAAAUUGCGAAUUUCGAAAACACAGGGUUGUGAAUGUGGGUCCAAAAGAGUCAUAUAGUGUAUAACAUGGAUUUUGUAGCCCUUAGAGCUAUAGUGAUACUUUGAAUUUUUUUUAAAUUUGAUUAAUACUCAAGUAACCAAUAAGGUUUGUGGACAUCUUGUUAAUUUAUGAGUAUUAACACUAUUAAUAGCUCUUCAAUACAGCAUAAACACAUGUAUACAAACUGUAUCAAAACAUAACAUCCUUUAGGCCAAUUCAACUUAAUUAGUAAGAUUAUCAUCCUGGGUCACCAAAAAGUAUGGGGCAGACUGUGGGAAGAUUUUAUUUUUUAAUUUUUAUUUUCUGAGAAAUAUAUUGAUGACAAACGAGUUUUUGUCAACAGAAGUGCAUAAUUUAAUGCCAGAUAUAUAAAUCUAUGUUAUUUCACAGAUGAUUUUUGAGGGGCGGGUGGGCGGGCAUGAUAAUCUAUCAACUACGUAAUUAAUUAAGUGGUAAAAUUACUAUUCUAGCAUCAUGAAUGAUCUUGUACAUGUAAAUUUAGUUUAAUCAAAUUGAAUUAGGUGUGUACUGUAUGAAAAUGUGAAAAAUAAGAUGAACUUUUCAAUAUUUGUUCAACACAUUUUUUAGAACUUGAAGAGCAGAAGAUGCAUUCCAUGACUCUUAUGUGAUAUAGAAGACAAAGAAGAGCUCUUGAGAAUGGAAAAAAAACCUGCGAGUUUUACAGUCAAUGAACACACCUCACGACACAAGUCCAUCAUGAUUCAGUAUACUAUUCUUCUAAGGAAACACCAUGACUUAGUUAAGAUUAAGUUUUGGUGUCAGAAGACUAAUGUAACUAAAACAUUGCAAAAUUAACCUGCAAGUGUCUUAUGUGAGCCUACUGAAUAAGGAUUCAUUACUGAACAGUUGAAGGAAAAUCACUAUUAUAAUGAUUUUUUUAAAAAGAUGAUUGUGUUGUUUGGAUAACAUUGUGAUCCAUGUUUGUUGAAUAAACAACUUUGCAAAAAUGAGUUGUUCUGUGUUAAUAUUAUAAAUUUACUAAUUACUGGUAUGUCAACAUAGAUUACAGUAACACUGAACAAACUUCAAUAAAUUUUAAAGUUUCAUGCAGUUUCUGCAGUAGAAAAUGACACCUAUUGAUUUUCUGGUCCAAAGGUCACUAGGUGCAAUACAAUACUCUGUACAAUUGAUGUCUGACCAGUUUCUUCAGAACCCUUUGAUUGAUAGUGAUAUUUCAUACAGGGGUUGGUCACUGGUAGUAUAUGACCCCCAUUGAUUUUCAGGUCAAAAGAUUAAAAAUAACAGGGGCCUCCGUGGCCGAGUGGUUGGAGCAUAGCGUUCAAAAUGACACGGCCUCAGUCGGCGAGGGUUCGAAUCCCGCUCGCGCUGGUAUUAAGUGAGAAAGUUUCCCAAUUUACUUUCGGAAGGUCGGUGGUCUCUCCGCAGGUACAUUGUAUCUGGGUUCUCACUUUCACCAAUAAACACUGGGCACCACCAGAAAACUGAAAAAUUGUUGAGUGUGGCGGAAAAUAUCAAUAAAUCAAUCAAUUAAAAAUGACUAGGUGCAAUGUAGCUAGUACUCUAUGCAAAGGUGUCCCCCCAAUAUCUUGGGCCUGUUGUUCAAUUAUGAUAUUUCAUAUGUUGGUUGGUUAUGAAUAGUAGAUGACCCUAAUGAUUUCCAGGUCAGAGGUCAACAAAUACAAGGCAGUACAAUGAACAAGUUAUUGGUAUCUACCCAAUAUCUUGAGAAGACUUUUUAUAGUUAUUGAUAAUAGUUUACAUGACAAUACAGUACAUGUAAUAUAGCUCGUUUAUGGAAAUGAUUGCAAAAUCUGUUUGGGGAGGGGGGGGGGGUCCUACUGGAUUACAGUUUAUGUUUACAUGGUUUUUUUUAAUCACUCUAACUAAUUUUUAUUAAUAUGUUAAACUUCUCCAUGUUUAUUUUUGAAAUAUCAAUUGCUCAUAUUGUUCAUUGUAACUGAAAAUGGUGUAGGUUGUAUUAUUUGUCAUUAGUAUGAAUUUUUGGCAAAAUGCCCAAAUCUACAGUUUUCGUACUACAAUAGAUCAAUUGUACUACAUUUCACCAUUAAUCUUUUUAUAUAAAUUAGGAGUCUUUGAUAUGGACACCCUUUGAUGACAGUUGAUUAUGCUGUAUGUAUUUUCCAAAUUAUCUAAAUUCAUCAACGAAAUCCAACAAAAAAUCCCGUUUUGGCAAAAUGCCCAAAUCUACAGUUUUCAUGCUACAAUAGAUCUAUUGCACUACGUUUCACCAUUAAUCUUUUUAUAUACAUUAAGAGUCUUUGAUAUGGACACCCUUUGAUGACAGUUGAUUAUGCUGUAUGUAUUUUCCAAAUUAUCUAAAUUCAUCAACGAAAUUCAACAAAAAAUUCCGUUUUGGCAAAAUUCCCAAAUCUACAGUUUUCGUGCUACAAUAGAUCUAUUGCACUACGUUUCACCAUUAAUCUUUUUAUAUACAUUAAGAGUCUUUGAUAUGGACAUCCUUUGAUGACAGUUGAUUAUGCUGUAUGUAUUUUCCAAAUUAUCUAAAUUCAUCAACGAAAUCCAACAAAAAAUCCCGUUUUGGCAAAAUGCCCAAAUCUACAGUUUUCGUACUACAAUAGAUCUAUUGCACUACGUUUCACCAUUAAUCUUUUUAUAUAUAUUAAGAGUCUUUGAUAUGGACAUUCUUUGAUGACAGUUGAUUAUGCUGUAUGUAUUUUCCAAAUUAUCUAAAUUCAUCAACGAAAUCCAACAAAAAAUCACUUUUUGGCAAAGUGCCAAAUUAUAAUACAUUGGUACAGCGGUCAGUAACACACUCUUUACUAUAGGUGGAUAUAGAUAUCUUAAAUAAGGAGGGAAUUUUAUGGGGAAUCGAGAUUUAUGGAGAAAAUUAGUUGUCUUUUUCAAUUUUUUAUAUACCACAAGGACAAAACAUGGGCAAAACGGACUGAAUUUUGCAGUUCAAUUAGCCCUCAUAGACUGCUGUCGGUUUCCAUGGCAACGGAUGGUAGAAAUUCGGUGGUGGGGUUGAAAUUAUGUAAGAUGGUGCAAGUAAAGUUAAUACUGUGAAAAUCAAAGAAAUCUGUGACAUUGAGUGGCCAGACCCUAUCUGAUUUCUUUGAUUUUUACAUAGAAUUGAUCUUAACCAUAGAAUUUGCAAGAUGCCGGAAUAUAAGAUGUGCAUAAACCAAAUUUGUUAUCCAAAUAAACUAAUAAAUUAAAUGAAAGGACGAAAUACACCCUAUUGUUAUAUUUGUUUAGUACAUUUUCAAGUUAAGUUUUACGAAUCCCGUGGGGAUCCGGGUUAGAAUAGGUCCUCAGUACCCCCUUGCUUGUCGUAAGAGGCGACUUUAUGGGGCGGUCCUUCGGAUGAGACUGCAAAACCCGAGGCCCCGUGUAACAGCAGCUGUGGCACGAUAAAGAUCCCUCCCUGCUCAGAGGCCGUAAGCGCCGAGCAUAGGCCUAAAUUUUGCAACUCUUCACCGGCAAUUGUCACUUCUCCAUAUGACUGAAAACUUCUCGAGCGGGACGUUAAACAAUACACAAUCAAUCAACCACCCAAGACGGUCAAAGUAUCAGGCGGGCGGGGACGGCAUUGCAUAGGAUGGCCCAGCGGCCGGGCUAAUUCAACUGCCAGUCUCAUUAAAUGGCACAAAUAAGCUUUAUUAAACUCAUUCGUAUAAAGUGAUAAACAUCACAACCUGUAAAUCAAGAGUUGCAAAUUUUAAACACGUUUUAGUGUUAUCAGCUUUGUGACUGGCUCAUCGAGUUUCUAACUUAAGGUGGUAUGCUACACCAAAUAAAUUUGAUGUAAAUGAAUACAACAAUAUUUUGAAGUUGAAAUUUUUCAAAUUUACUUUAUUUUAUCACAAAAUUCAGUUUUAGUAGAAGGUAAUCUGAAAAAAUUUAAAACAUCUGCUGGAUUCGAACCUGCUACCUACAAUUAAGCAGUCGGUAUGCUAACCUACUGAGCUACUCAGCUAUGUAUUUAAAUUGAAAAGGAAAAGUCCAAUAUUGCUGAUAUUGAUUUUUUUCCUCCAUGUUUUUAAAGGAAGUCAGUCAUUAUGACGAUGUAGCGUACCUCCUUAGGUAAAAAUAAACAUUGUAGGGGUUCAAGAUCCGUAAUAUCCAUAUCAAUUUCAUCAUUUAAAUCUCUUGAUAUAUUAGUUAAUGACACACACAACACACGUGAUAUAUAUUAUAAAUCAUAAUUUCUAAUCAACAUUUACAUAAACAGAGAGCAUCCUUCUGAAACCUCCACUUCCGGGGUUUUUCUCUAGGUCUGAAAUCUCGUGACAGUGAGAUAAGAUUCAUUCGGAAUCCUCAAUUUAUACCGUUUUUAACACCGAUAAAGAAUACGAUCUAAACAUGUUAGUAGGGGUGCAAAGGACACGUGAUUUAUACUUCCGGUGACAGUACAGCUCACGACACUUCGCUCACUGAGCAUCAUCGAAACCGCUUACGAAGUGGGGCCCUUGCCAAAACCUCACAGGGCGUUCCAGAUAUCCAUAGACAUUGUAAGGAAGUUAGGUUCAGAGCUCUUUAUGAAUGCAUGACUCCGCCUAUGAUUAAAGGCAUUGGUCGGUUAUUUCCUGUUUGGAACCAAGCGCUGUAGACACACAACCUGUUUAGACGAUUAUUACUGUUGUGGAGGAGGCGAAAUCUGUUGUCUACAGACAUCCAGUUUCCGUGUGUAUGAACACUGGUGGUUUUGGGCCAUAAUCUUGAUUGGAUGUUUGGUGUUUGGAACAGGAUUGUAUUGCACGAGAAAAUGCAAUGCCUACAGGGACACGUAUAGACCGAUAUAAAGUUCCGCAAAUUCAAUACGUGUUGGUGAAUGCAAAGUAGGGAUCCAUCUGAAAUAUAAGAGGAAAUUCUAGUUAAUAACUUCAUCUACGCUAUUUAUGAUUGAAUAUUGACCAUUAAUACUAUUCGUGUUUCUGUGUUGUUCAUGCAAUGAUUUUGUCACUUUUGUACAUGAUAUUUACUACAUAAACUGUGUUUUUAAAUUUUGAAAUCGAACAUUCACGCGAAUACACAAGUUGCGUGUGUGUUUUUGCUGCGUUAAAGGGUCGUUGUUGCAUGAUAGGUUGAUAUACAUCCAGUUGAGAAUUUUUCACUCAUAUUGAGACGUUACCAGCUGUAGAUGAAGUACCGCUUAGCGCCCAGGGCUGUAGCAGUCAGGGUUCUUUAAUGUGCUAAUGCCUGCCGCAACACGGGACUACUUUCAGGGCCGUAAAUUACAUGGAGGCGAAGGAGGCAGCUGCCUCCUCCAACUUUUGAGCCAAAAAAAAUUUAAAAUUUAAAGUUCAUUAGAAUUUAUGUUGUUUCCAAUAACUAAGAACAUGAUACCUCCCUUAAAAAGCAUUCCAAAUCUUUCUUUUAGAAUGAGUUAGUCAAGUAACAUCUUAGAAGGCCCUAGAAUCAAGGAUUUUGCACGAAACGUGUUCAGUGUGCACAAAAUGUGCUCAGCGUCCAGACCCCCGCCUAAUUUCCUGCCUCCUCCAAAUUGAAGGUUAAUUUACGGCCCUGACUUUUUUAAAGAUCAUAUACCUGGUAUAAAUGAAAGACCCGUGAUUGUUAAUUCUAAAUGCCAAGCGUUUGGAGACCAAGAUCAGGUUUGACGCGACCAUGAGGUUUUGGUGAUUCACAGAGACGUAAAUGUUUAAACUGCACGUGCACAAAGGACUGGUGAUACUUUACCGGGCUAAAAUGAUGAUUAGCCUCAAUAGUCAACGUAAAUUACUUCUCUUCUGAAUCAUAAAAAGGGCUUCUGUUAUAUACCGGUGUUCAUGUGACAGGAAACCCGGAUCUAGAUAUUAAUCCUUUAAUGUAUAGAAUAUGGAGCGUCUUGCCCACUAUUUGAUGCUGUUUAUGUUUGAUGUGUAUCGCCAGAUAUUUUCAGUAAAGGCUUCAGGUUGCAGUCAAACCGUUGGUUGUCCAGGUGAUUACUUCUGUUGUCACGGAGGAACAAGAUGCUGUAAACUCCAACAAGUGUAUCAGUUGUGGUGGUUUUGGUUCAUUCUCGUGGUAAUACUGUUCCUGAUUAUUAGCUGUAUACUAGUUCUGCGCAGACGCAGAAAAAUCAGGAAGAAUUACACCCGUUUUAACCAGACUGCAUGUGGAGGAACGAACACUCAACCAAGAAAUUCUUCGUAUCCUGAAACCGAUCCGCCUCCGCCUUAUCCCUCGUCUCCGCCAGAUCAGGAACCACCGCCCUAUCAGUAUCCAGGAAACAGAUCUAAUUCCAACCCUAGCUUGGAUGAGCAAGCUGCUCUUAAUAAAGCUGUUUCGUGAUAACUUACAACACCGUUUUUUCUGCCAUGUACAUUAUAAUGUUUUCAUGUUACACUCUAAUAUACAUAUGUAAUUUCAUAAAGCACAUAACAGGUACUUUGAAAUGUUUUACGUAUUUUCGAAGGUUAACGUAAAAUAUACUUCUCUUUUCUUUUUUUUUUGUAAUUCAUUUAUUUUUUGCUUUCACAAUAAAUAAACAUUUACAUAUUAACAAUACAUGAUAAUAUAGUAUAUACAUAUUUCAAGCAAGUAAAAACAUAUAUGUGUAUAUUUAGGAGUGCAUAUGUACAUGUAUAAUGUGAAAGGUAUUUAAUUUCGAAAAGAUGGGGAGAGAGAAGGGAAGGGGAAAGAGAGAAAGAGGGAGAGAGAUAAGGGGAGUAAGGGGAAGAAUUUUGCCUGGUCCACUGAUCAGUCUCCAUCAUUUCAUAUAAAGCAAUUGUUUUCUGUUAACAGUACAUAAUUAAAGCAAAUCACAUACAUUCUGCCAGUAUUUCUCAUAUUCAGUAUAUGUACAGCUUUUUAGCAACAUAGAUUUUUCUAUAUAAAAUCUAUCAAUGAUAUGUUUUUUGACAGCAUAAACAUUUAGUUUUGGAGCCAUUUUAUACCUACUUGCAAAUAUGUAAUACUUAACAAUAAGUAUUAGUAAAUGUUGUACUUUGUAUAAGUUUCUGUUAUUGUAUUUGCCAAAUAGUAUGGCUUGUCUAUCACAUAUAAUUGGUUUAUUAAAUUUAUUGAGAAACCAGUC